rnacentral:lncRNA from 1 species
GGGGGGUUCAUUUUCGGGGCCUUCCAAAACAGGAGGGAAUAGGGGGUUUGUCCUUCUUAAAUCAACUAUUCUUCAUUAAAUUCUAAAAAGCAGCCCCUUAUACCACUGAGACACCUUGAGGACAGGUGUGGCACUAGGAGUGAAAAAGAGGUGCUGUCCUAACUAGGAGCAACAGGGGUCUCUCUCCGGCAUAUUCUCUUACAUUAACCGGCCGCAAGCUAAACGAUCCAGACUAACAGCCUCUUAGAGAAACGUCACUGUAUCAGGUUGUGGGAAAUUCCUGAGCCUUUACAUAUUUUAUGUAUGAUUUGGUGAGUUUAAGUUUCUAUUUGUCUUCAGCGAGGUCAGUGUUGAGCCCUUGUAACAGAAUCCACAGCCGUCAUUCAGGAGCCGAGCCCGUCUCCAGAGUGACCUUCCUCAGCGGACACGCCCCGUCCACCUGUUCCACAGGUGCGCCCGGCAAGAUGGCGGCGGGGCGACCUUCUGCGGCUUUAGGGCGCCGACUUUGCUGA